UCUCGGCAACACUGAACUCCAAGCAAAAAACAUUCUACAUGUCGACUGUGAACGGGUUCGCGUGGAUAUGAAACUUGAUUGUUUCAUUUCAUUACAGUUCAUGUGGGGCGAAUUUUGCAGUGAAAACUACAACUUGGACCCAGCAGUAAACAAGGCGCGCGUUGGUUCGUCAGGCAAAAGAACAAAAUGGUCGUGCUACAGGUAAUUGUCGACAAUUCCGGCGAGCAGAGGAUCGAAUUAGUGGUGACGGUGGAGAAAUUUCCCCUUGUGCAUCCAUCAGGUUGUGGUAAGGAGAAAAGUUACCACACAGGUGUCGGACGCAAACGAUCAGCUGAGCUCCGAAGAGCGGGAAAUUGGCCACGGCUAAUAUCUGACCAAAUGCGACUCGUAUCAAUCCCACGGUUAUGAACCUGCAUGAAGAGGGUCCACAAUGGUUCCAGCUC